UACGGGGGGGCAAGCGGUUGUUCGGAAUUACUGGGCGUAAAGGGCUCGUAGGCGGCCAACUAAGUCAGACGUGAAAUCCCUCGGCUUAACCGGGGAACUGCGUCUGAUACUGGAUGGCUUGAGUUUGGGAGAGGGAUGCGGAAUUCCAGGUGUAGCGGUGAAAAUGCGUAGAUAUCUGGAGGAACACCGGUGGCGAAGGCGGCAUCCUGGACCAAUACUGACGCUGAGGAGCGAAAGCCAGGGGAGCAAACGGG
rnacentral:rRNA from 1 species